AUGCUAUACGGUGCUUGCUCCACUUCGAUUGUUGCAACCUGCAGCUACUCCUGAAUAUAUUAAUGAGCCAGUGUCCAGCAGAACAAGAGAUAAACUACUAAAGCAAGGGACACUCAAUGUUAAAGCUAUUCAGUGCAAAAGGAGGCAUUUCAACCAAACCAAUGAGAGUGUGUUAGGUAGAUAGAGCUAGAACAAAUUAGCAGCCAGUGUUCUCGGUUUCUCGCAUAUGCAGUUCAACUGGGCGGUGUUUCCUUAUUACUAGGAGGGUGUGGUUUACAAGUAGAGACACAGACAAUGUUCAGUCGAGCAGAGGCAGGGCGUGGGGGAC